UACAGAGACUGCAAGCGUUAUUCGGAUUCACUGGGCGUAAAGGGUGCGCAGGCGGUUGGGUGUGUCAGAUGUGAAAUCCCGAGGCUCAACCUCGGAACUGCGUCUGAAACUACUCGACUAGAGUACUGGAGAGGGUAACGGAAUUCACGGUGUAGCAGUGAGAUGCGUAGAUAUCGUGAGGAGCACCAGAGGCGAAGGCGGUUACCUGGACAGUUACUGACGCUCAGGCACGAAAGCAUGGGGAGCAAAAGGG
rnacentral:rRNA from 1 species